GCCUGAACUCCAGUAGGGCCCAAGCCAGCCAGGAAGGAGGAGGCAGCCAGAGUGUUCUCUGCAGCAGAAGACCCUUUGCUGCCCUGCUUAACCCAGACCAGCAUUUGCCAGAUUCUGCAGGGCUUUUCGCAGAGAAGAUGGAGUGGACGUGAUCUCUGUUGUUUCAGGCAGCAACAGAGAGGGCAGGACUAGAAUCGAUGGGCUGAAGCACAAAGAAGCAGAUGUGGGCCUGACAUUGGGGAGGAUUUCUUAAUGAAUCUGCUGGUCCAUAGAACCUGCAUUACAGGAGCAGUCUAUCCACAUGUAUCAAAUCCUCCCUCAAUCCCAUGCUUUGUCAUAGGAAUCUCCAGGAUACGGCCCUCCCCAUGUGGAAACUGACAAGACAAAAUGUACUUAGAUAAAA